GGAUAUUGCGCAAUGGGGGAAACCCUGACGCAGCGACGCCGCGUGGGCGAAGACGGUCUUCGGAUUGUAAAGCCCUUUUCUGCGUGACGAGGAAGGACGGUAGCGCAGGAAGAAGUCUCGGCUAACUACGUGCCAGCAGCCGCGGUAAAACGUAGGAGGCAAGCGUUAUCCGGAGUUACUGGGCGUAAAGCGCGCGCAGGCGGUGCGUUAAGUGUAUUGUCAAAGACACAGGCUCAACCUGGGGCAGGCA
rnacentral:rRNA from 1 species